rnacentral:tRNA from 2 species
AAAUCCGUCGACUUUAAAAAUCGUGAGGGUUCAAGUCCCUCUAUCCCCCA